rnacentral:lncRNA from 10 species
UGGCAGAUACCAUACAGCUGUUGAAAAGUAUCUGUCAACAAAACUAUUACUGUCUUUCCUGGGAUCAACACUAUGUCCUGGACCCUCAAGGUCAGCAGAGCCGCCUUACGAACAAGGGCGGGCGAAAAGCAGAACGCUCACAAGACCAGUGAAACCCAAGCAAUGCUGGCAGGUGGAGGGCCUUCCCCAAAUGCUGCAAAUUCUAAAGGAAAAGAUAAGAAUACAUUAAUCCUCUGAGUUUGAGGCUAUGUCCAACAGGUGGCAAGGCCUAUUCCUGCACAGGAGACAGCUGCUGGGACUAAGGGAAGAUGCCAGAAAAAGGGAGCUUCAGGUGGGAAUCCGCACAGAGCAAUUAACCUUCACCCUGAAACACACCGGACUCCACUUCCACCACUCACAAAGGAGAGCACAACACUGAAGGCCAAACACUCAAAGCAUUUCCUAGGGCAAGGAUGCUGAAAGGGUCAUCCAGGGACCAGCUGCAGCAGAAUCCCACGCUCUUCUGUUUGACAAUGCGGAUUCCUGAACCCCAGCCCAGGCCUCCAGAGUCUGAAUAUCUGUAGGUGGAGUAGUCGCUGCUGCCAGUCACUUUCUCUUACAUCAUCCCAUGUAUUUUCUUCUUCACAACUAAACCAUUAUCUAAAAUGAUAUCAUUCAUUUACUUGUUUUCUGCCUUCUCCACGUUAGUGUAUGCUCCCAAGGAGCAGGAACAACCUGCUCAGAACAGUAUCUAGCACAGAGGAGGAGCUUAAUAAAUAAAUCAAUAAUAGGUGAAUUGAAGGGAAAGAGGGAGGAAGGGAGGAAGUUCAGAAUGGCUUCCCUAAUUAAUAAUAAAGCUGAGCUGAGCCCAAUUCCUAUGCCCUGGGGAUCUUCAGGGAGCAGAAAUCAGGGCAACAGCCAAGAGAAAAGGAGGUUGCUGCCCAUCAGGCGUUAAAAACAUCAACAUAAAAGACUGA